rnacentral:rRNA from 1 species
UACGUAGGGACCAAGCGUUGUUCGGAUUUACUGGGCGUAAAGGGCGCGUAGGCGGCUUGACAAGUCACUUGUGAAAUCUCCGGGCUUAACUCGGAACGGCCAAGUGAAACUGUCAUGCUAGAGUGCAGAAGGGGCAAUCGGAAUUCUUGGUGUAGCGGUGAAAUGCGUAGAUAUCAAGAGGAACACCUGAGGUGAAGACGGGUUGCUGGGCUGACACUGACGCUGAGGCGCGAAAGCGUGGGGAGCAAACGGG